AGCUUUAGAAAAGUGAUAAAAGGAAGGGAUCCUGUCUGGGGUACGCAGGCUGUCCCUAGAAUCACUUUUGCAGGCUGAAGGGCUUCUGGAUGUGAUGUGGAGGGUGUAGGUCAGUUUCCGAACAAGUCGGCUUCUGCUUGGCUGGUCAGGGUUUUGACUGCGGGCCAGUCCGUCUCUCUGGCCGUGGGAGUGAGCGGUGCCAGUAGGAGUGUGGAAGACACCACGUGCUGUGUGGAAGAAGCUCUGGAUGAGAUUAGGAGGCCGGAUCCUUGUCUCUCUCCUCCAGCUGCCUCCCCCGACCCCAGUAUGUCCCAGCCUCGAGCUCGAGUGACCCUGGCGGGUUCCUGGGCCUCUCUCUACCCCCGUUGAUAAGUUGAGGCCGUGUAUGGCCUACAGGCCCCGAGUCAGGCUGCCUGGGUCUGCAUCCAGGCUCUGCCCCUUGCUGGCUCUUGUGUGGCCUGCCUGCAAGGCGGUUGGCCUUUCUUGGGAUGGCUCACAAAUGCCUCUUCCAGUGAGGGAGUCUGUUACUUUCUUCUACCUCUUCAGGCAAAUGGACCACCCGAGAGGUCCCUAGAGGAGGCAAAGCAGGUGAUGACCAGAGAAGCCAGAGGGGGCCCUGGGGUGGGUCUCGGUGCCCGCCCUGUGCUCUGCCUCCCUCCCUGGUCUCCCCAAGAAAAGCUCAGCCCGGCAGAGCACAGGCCCCAGCAGCUCCCGCUGUUAACUGUGCAGGGAAGACAGAUCCUCAGGUGAGCAGCGUCGCUGCCCUGGGGUGCUGCCCCCAGGCCCACGGAUGCCCAGGCAGCCUGUGCCAGUUUUCUCAGUUUUCAAGUGUCAUGGUCAGACUGUGGGUCAUGGGGGCCAAGCUCUUUACUAGCUGGUUCCCCUGAUGAAAACUCUUUCAUUGAAACGCUUCAUUCCCGAUCUACAUUGUUUCCAAUCCCCAUGCUCUUCUCUGAGGGCUCAGCUGGCUGCCCUUCAAAGAGCCCAGUGAGAGACAAGUGUAGUAGUUUCAUGCAGCUUCCCACCUCCCUCUCCAACCGCCUGGUACUCCGUGGUUUCUGCAGAGGUUCUCAGUAGGAGAAAAGUUAUGUUUAUGGGGCACAUUCAGAGAGCUUGUGCCUCCAUUCCAGAAUUUGUUUGGAGGCUCUGCCCCACGUGGUGGAGAAUCUUGUUAAGUUCGGGUGGUUCCCUACAGUUUCCACUAGAAAUUACGUCUUUAAAGACUGCUCUGGGCAGGAGAGUCUGGAACUCCCUGCUAGAGACCUUGGGGACUGGCAAGGGACAUCUACGAAUCCGAAGAGGGGCUAAGUUAGGUGAGCAAUCUGAGAACAGAGGCCAGGCUUUAUUGCCUUGUAAAUCACAAACCUGAAGUUUUGUCAGAUCUUUGGGUAAGGGGAGAGCCACCCUGAAUAGAUAACCCUGUCCUAAAUUGCCUUUGCAAGGACCUAAAAUAUGAGACUAUUGAAUGUUCUUCAUUAUACGUAAUUGUUAGUCCAGGAGUUCCCAUUGUGGCUCAGUGGUAAUGAAACCCACUAGUAUCCAUGAGGACGAGGGUUCCAUCUCAGGCCUCACUCAGUGGGUUAAGGGUCCAGUGUUGCUUUGAGCUGUGGUGUAGACCAGCAGCUGUGGCUCUGAUUCAAUCCCUAG
ensembl:lncRNA